CCGACGGGUUUUAUAUAGAAACGGAGCGGGCGUGCCCAGUGAGGCGAGGCUGCUUAUCGGCCAUCGGGGCUAGGCAGGCGCUCGCCGGCGCGAGAGACUCCCACAGCCAUUGACCGAGAGAGCGCGUUUCUCUCCAAGCAACAUCUAAGCCUCAUAACAGGCCUGGGGGUAGGUGAGGCCCCGAGGGAGCAGAUUAUCCGAGGCCACCCAAAGUCCUUCAGAGCCGCAGCAGGCUUCUCUAAACAAAACAAACAUUCUUACUGCCGAAAAAUGCUCUUUGAGACGCGACUUUUCUCCAGUACCUAGUACAAUGACAGAGCUCAACAAAUGGAACCAUCAGGAUGAGACACCAAUUCAACGCAGUAUAUGUCCACGACUACCUAAUAGGUGUGUAAUGAAAGCUCUGCUACAACCGAGAGAGGGGUCCAGUGAUGACCAGCUGAGUAUCAGAAUUUUGCCAGAGUUGUAUGGUGCAGGGCCCCGAACUCCUGAGUUUUCUGCAGUCCCUGUUGAGGUUUCCUGGAGAGCAGAGUCAACGUUUGAAGAAGAUUGUUGAGUGCCUCAGGAGUGCCUGUGACUGAAUC